rnacentral:rRNA from 1 species
GAUGAACGCUGGCGGCGUGCCUAAUACAUGCAAGUCGAGCGAACAGACGAGGAGCUUGCUCCUCUGACGUUAGCGGCGGACGGGUGAGUAACACGUGGAUAACCUACCUAUAAGACUGGGAUAACUUCGGGAAACCGGAGCUAAUACCGGAUAAUAUAUUGAACCGCAUGGUUCAAUAGUGAAAGACGGUUUUGCUGUCACUUAUAGAUGGAUCCGCGCCGCAUUAGCUAGUUGGUAAGGUAACGGCUUACCAAGGCAACGAUGCGUAGCCGACCUGAGAGGGUGAUCGGCCACACUGGAACUGAGACACGGUCCAGACUCCUACGGGAGGCAGCAGUUGGGAAUCUUCCGCAAAGGGCGAAAGCUUGACGGAGCAACGCCGCGUGAGUGAUGAAGGUCUUCGGAUCGUAAAACUCUGUUAUUAGGGAAGAACAAAUGUGUAAGUAACUAUGCACGUCUUGACGGUACCUAAUCAGAAAGCCACGGCUAACUACGUG